rnacentral:rRNA from 1 species
GAUGAACGCUGGCGGCGUGCCUAAUACAUGCAAGUCGAGCGAACAGACGAGGAGCUUGCUCCUCUGACGUUAGCGGCGGACGGGUGAGUAACACGUGGAUAACCUACCUAUAAGACUGGGAUAACUUCGGGAAACCGGAGCUAAUACCGGAUAAUAUAUUGAACCGCAUGGUUCAAUAGUGAAAGACGGUUUUGCUGUCACUUAUAGAUGGAUCCGCGCCGCAUUAGCUAGUUGGUAAGGUAACGGCUUACCAAGGCAACGAUGCGUAGCCGACCUGAGAGGGGUGACCGCCAAACUGGAACUGAGACACGGUCCAGACUCCUACGGGAGGCAGCAGUAGGGAAUCUUCCGCAAUGGGCGAAAGCCUGACGGAGCAACGCCGCGUGAGUGAUGAAGGUCUUCGGAUCGUAAAACUCUGUUAUUAGGGAAGAACAAAUGUGUAAGUAACUAUGCACGUCUUGACGGUACCUAAUCAGAAAGCCACGGCUAACUACGUG